ensembl:rRNA RNA5SP536 RNA, 5S ribosomal pseudogene 536
UAUGGCCAUACCACCCUGAAUGCACCCAAUCUUGUCUGAUCUUAGAAGCUAAGCAAGGUUAGGCCCGUUAGUACUUGGAUGGGAGAAAAAUGAUAUUUGCAGGAAAACUGGUAAAGAUCAGAU